AUUGAACGCUGGCGGCAGGCUUAACACAUGCAAGUCGAGCGAGCGGAGGACGGGUGAGUAAUGUAUGGGAAACUGCCUGACGGAGGGGGAUAAAUAAGGGAAACCGUAGAUAAUAGCGCUUACCGCGCGAUGUGCCCAGAGGGAAUUAGCUAGUCGGUGGGGUAAUGGCACACUUAGGCGACGAUCCCUACCUGGUCUGAGAGGAUGACCGGCCACACGGGGACUGAGACACGGUCCAGACGCCUACGGGAGGCAGCAGUGGGGAAUAUUGCACAAUGGGCGAAAGCCUGAUGCAGCCAUGCCGCGUGUGUGAAGAAUGCCUUCGGGUUGUAAAGCACUUUCGUCGAGGAGGCGUUACUCGCAGAGGAAGCACCGGCUAACUCCGUGCCAGCAGCCGCGGUAAUUC
rnacentral:rRNA from 1 species